GCGCGAAAACUUUACAAUGCUGGCAACAGCGAUAAGGGAACCUCGCGUGCCAGGUUACAAAUCUGGCUGUCGAGAUGCCUAAAAAGCAUUUCAUAGCAAGGGCCGGGCAAGACCGGUGCCAGCCGCCGCGGUAACACCGGCGGCUCGAGUGGUAACCGUUAUUAUUGGGUCUAAAGGGUCUGUAGCCGGCCGGAUAAGUCUCUUGAGAAAUCUGGCAGCUUAACUGUCAGGCUUUCAGGAGAUACUGUCUGGCGCGAGGCCGGGAGAGGUGAGAGGUACUUCAGAGGUAGGGGUGAAAUCUUGUAAUCCUUGAAGGACCACCAGGGGCGAAGGCGUCUCACCAGAACGGACCUGACGGCAAGGGACGAAAGCUAGGGGCACGAACCG
rnacentral:rRNA from 1 species